rnacentral:rRNA from 1 species
CGGAGGGUGCAAGCGUUAUCCGGAAUCAUUGGGUUUAAAGGGUCCGCAGGCGGACUUAUAAGUCAGUGGUGAAAGCCUACAGCUUAACUGUAGAACUGCCAUUGAUACUGUAAGUCUUGAAUUCGGUCGAAGUGGGCGGAAUAUGACAUAUAGCGGUGAAAUGCUUAGAUAUGUCAUAGAACACCGAUAGCGAAGGCAGCUCACUAGGCCUGGAUUGACGCUCAUGGACGAAAGCGUGGGGAGCAAACAGGAUUAGAUACCCUGGUAGUCCACGCCGUAAACUAUCAAUACUCGUUCUCGGCGAUAUACAGUCGGGGACUAAGCGAAAGUGAUAAGUAUUGCACCUGGGGAGUACGAUCGCAAGGUUG